GCUACGGGUGGCAGCAGUGAGGAAUAUUGGUCAAUGGGCGCAAGCCUGAACCAGCCAAGUCGCGUGAGGGAAGACGGCCCUACGGGUUGUAAACCUCUUUUGCCGGGCAGCAAGCCUGAGCACGUGUGCCCAGGCGGAGAGUACCCGGAGAAAAAGCAUCGGCUAAGUCCGUGCCAGCAGCCGCGGUAAUACGGAGGAUGCGAGCGUUAUCCGGAUUUAUUGGGGUUAAAGGGCGCGCAGGAGGAAGGUCAAGUACGCGGUAAAAUUGAGAGGCUCAACCUCUUAGAGCCGUUGAAACUGGUUUUCUUGAGGGAGCGAGAGGUAGGCGGAAUGCGUGGUGUAGCGGUGAAAUGCAUAGAGAUCACGCAGAACUCCGAUUGCGAAGGCAGCAUACCGGCGCUCAACUGACGCUCAUGCACGAAAGUGUGGGUAUCGAACAGGAUUAGAUACCCUGGUAGUC
rnacentral:rRNA from 1 species